UACGUAGGGUGCGAGCGUUAAUCGGAAUUACUGGGCGUAAAGCGUGCGCAGGCGGUUUUGUAAGCCAGAUGUGAAAGCCCCGGGCUCAACCUGGGAAUGGCAUUUGGGACUGCAAGGCUGGAGUUUGGCAGAGGAGACUGGAAUUCCUGGUGUAGCAGUGAAAUGCGUAGAUAUCAGGAGGAAUACCGAGUGGCGAAGGCAGGUCUCUGGGCUAUAACUGACGCUCAUGCACGAAAGCGUGGGGAGCAAACAGG
rnacentral:rRNA from 1 species